AUGGAUUUGAUGUUGAAAUGGGUUUUCCUUUUUGCUUUUUUAAAAGGUGUCCAGUCUGAGGUGCAACCUGGGGAGUCUGGAGGAGGGCUUGUGAAGCCUGGAGGAUCCCUGAGACUAUCCUGUGUAGCCUCUGGAUUCACUUUCAGUGACUCCUGGAUGUACUGGUUUCGCCAAGCUCCAGGGAAGGGGCUGGAGUGGGUUGGAAAUAUUAAUACAGACAGCAGUACUAUAAGAUAUGCACCAUCUGUGAAGGAUCAAUUCACCAUCUCCAGAGAAAAUGCUAAGAACACUCUGUACCUGCAAAUGAGCAAUGUGAGAUUGGAAGACACAGCCACUUAUUACUGUCCUAGAGACACGGUGAUAGGAUUUCAGUGUUAA